GACAGAGGCCUCAAGCGUUAGGCGGAAUCACUGGGCUUAAAGCGUGUGUAGGCGGACGCCUAAGUACCUUGUGAAAUCCCACGGCUCACCCGUGGAACGGCUGGGUAUACUGGGCGUCUUGGGCCAACUAGGGGCAACUGGAACAAGCGGUGGAGCGGUGAAAUGCGUAGAUAUCAGGAAGAACACCAAUGGCGAAGGCAGCUCUCUGGGACGGUACUGACACUGAGACGCGAAAGCGUGGGGAGCGAACAGG
rnacentral:rRNA from 1 species